rnacentral:lncRNA from 1 species
CUCGAACAUAUAUAUAGCUUUGUGUUCAUACAGUUAACUCUACCUCGAUCACAAACUAGUUGGUUGAAAUGAAUCUUAGGUCUCCAUUCCACUCUAUAACGAACACUUUAUUACACUAAAAAAAAUUGAGCUUUAAGAAAAAUUAAGUUCUCUAAAACUAGACGUCCUCUUUGUCAUCUACAGAAAUAAAAUUAUGCCAGUAAGACAACCAAUUGGAAACAACCAACACUUAACUAACAACUAAUCUAAAACAGUUAUAACUAACUGCACUGCUCUAAUAUGGAUUAGCAUACCCGCCACCCCCCACCCCAUCAAGCUGGAAUUUGGGAAUGAGUUUCCAAAUAUUGAGGUUGAAUCAUCCGUUAUUUGAUUUUCUCCCCGACGAAAUGGAAAUCUAUGUCGAUAUGAUUAGCCCUCACAUACAAAAUAGGAUUAGAGGCUAUCUGUAUAGAAGCCGUGUAAUCUCAUCGGAGCAUGAACUGGUAACCCUAAUUCUUGCAACAAACCAACCAGCUUUUAAAACAUUUGUAUUACUUGCCUAUUUGUAUUCAUAUAGCUGAUUCCUCUAUCGAAUUCGAAGAGCUCUAGCUAACUGUUUGCUGUUUCCUGGUCUUCCAUGAAAUAACGGAAUUGCGUAAACUUGAUGACAUAACUAACUUCCUAUUGAGUCACAAAAUUCUUCAAGCUGGUCCAUACCACCCAUGGAAAAGAAAACACCCAAUCCGAUAGAGCUUUUAACAUAUCUGAGAUUGUUUUGGAAAAGCACCUGUACUGCAAAAGCCUAUUUGUUUUAUAAUGAGGAAUGAAGAAU